AUUUAACUCUGGCGGCAGGCCUAACACAUGCAAAUCGGGCGGAGCGGCGGACGGGUGAUUAAUGUAUGGGGAACUGCCUGAUGGCGGGGGAUAACUACUGGAACCGGUAGCUACUACCGCAUACCAUCAGAUGAACCCCUAUGGGAUUAGCUGGUAGGUAAGGUAACGGCUUACCUAGGCGACGCUCCCUAGCUGGUCUGAGAGGGGGAUCAGCCACACUGGGACUGAGACACGGCCCAGACUCCUACGGGAGGCAGCAGUGGGGAAUAUUGGACAAUGGGCGAAAGCCUGAUCCAGCCAUGCCGCGUGUGUGAAGAAGGUCUUCGGAUUGUAAAGCACUUUAAGUUGGGAGGCGUUACCAACAGAAGAAGCACCGGCUAACUUCGUGCCAGCCGCCGCGGUAAUUC
rnacentral:rRNA from 1 species